CUACGAAGGGGGCAAGCGUUGUUCGGAAUAACUGGGCGUAAAGCGCACGUAGGCGGAAUGUUAAGUUAGAGGUGAAAUCCCAGGGCUCAACCCUGGAACUGCCUUUAAUACUGGCAAUCUAGAGACCGAGAGAGGUGAGUGGAAUUCCGAGUGUAGAGGUGAAAUUCGUAGAUAUUCGGAGGAACACCAGUGGCGAAGGCGGCUCACUGGCUCGGUACUGACGCUGAGGUGCGAAAGCGUGGGGAGCAAACAGGAUUAGAAACCCCAGUAGUCC
rnacentral:rRNA from 1 species